CACGAUUCUCGACCCUUUGGCUAAGAACAAGUGUAAUGUCUGUUCUUAUCAGUUUAAUCACUACAUUUCUUAUGAAGAAAAUAAACAUGUUCAGUGAUGAUACUUAUGUUUGAUGGCCAGUUUUA
rnacentral:snRNA from 1 species